rnacentral:rRNA from 2 species
CUCUGGUAUUGAUUGGUGCUUGCAUCAUGAUUUACAUUUGAGUGAGUGGCGAACUGGUGAGUAACACGUGGGAAACCUGCCCAGAAGCGGGGGAUAACACCUGGAAACAGAUGCUAAUACCGCAUAACAACUUGGACCGCAUGGUCCGAGUUUGAAAGAUGGCUUCGGCUAUCACUUUUGGAUGGUCCCGCGGCGUAUUAGCUAGAUGGUGAGGUAACGGCUCACCAUGGCAAUGAUACGUAGCCGACCUGAGAGGGUAAUCGGCCACAUUGGGACUGAGACACGGCCCAAACUCCUACGGGAGGCAGCAGUAGGGAAUCUUCCACAAUGGACGAAAGUCUGAUGGAGCAACGCCGCGUGAGUGAAGAAGGGUUUCGGCUCGUAAAACUCUGUUGUUAAAGAAGAACAUAUCUGAGAGUAACUGUUCAGGUAUUGACGGUAUUUAACCAGAAAGCCACGGCUAACUACGUGCCAGCAGCCGCGGUAAUACGUAGGUGGCAAGCGUUGUCCGGAUUUAUUGGGCGUAAAGCGAGCGCAGGCGGUUUUUUAAGUCUGAUGUGAAAGCCUUCGGCUCAACCGAAGAAGUGCAUCGGAAACUGGGAAACUUGAGUGCAGAAGAGGACAGUGGAACUCCAUGUGUAGCGGUGAAAUGCGUAGAUAUAUGGAAGAACACCAGUGGCGAAGGCGGCUGUCUGGUCUGUAACUGACGCUGAGGCUCGAAAGUAUGGGUAGCAAACAGGAUUAGAUACCCUGGUAGUCCAUACCGUAAACGAUGAAUGCUAAGUGUUGGAGGGUUUCCGCCCUUCAGUGCUGCAGCUAACGCAUUAAGCAUUCCGCCUGGGGAGUACGGCCGCAAGGCUGAAACUCAAAGGAAUUGACGGGGGCCCGCACAAGCGGUGGAGCAUGGGUUUAAUUCGAAGCUACGCGAAGAACCUUACCAGGUCUUGACAUACUAUGCAAAUCUAGAGAUUAGACGUUCCCUUCGGGGACAUGGAUACAGGUGGUGCAUGGUUGUCGUCAGCUCGUGUCGUGAGAUGUUGGGUUAAGUCCCGCAACGAGCGCAACCCUUAUUAUCAGUUGCCAGCAUUAAGUUGGGCACUCUGGUGAGACUGCCGGUGACAAACCGGAGGAAGGUGGGGAUGACGUCAAAUCAUCAUGCCCCUUAUGACCUGGGCUACACACGUGCUACAAUGGAUGGUACAACGAGUUGCGAACUCGCGAGAGUAAGCUAAUCUCUUAAAGCCAUUCUCAGUUCGGAUUGUAGGCUGCAACUCGCCUACAUGAAGUCGGAAUCGCUAGUAAUCGCGGAUCAGCAUGCCGCGGUGAAUACGUUCCCGGGCCUUGUACACACCGCCCGUCACACCAUGAGAGUUUGUAACACCCAAAGUCGGUGGGGUAA